rnacentral:rRNA from 1 species
CAUUUUGCUUCAUGGCGAGAUGUUGAAAGACGGUUUCGGCUGUCACUACAAGAUGGGCCCGCGGCGCAUUAGCUAGUUGGUAGGGUAAUGGCCUACCAAGGCGACGAUGCGUAGCCGACCUGAGAGGGUGAUCGGCCACACUGGGACUGAGACACGGCCCAGACUCCUACGGGAGGCAGCAGUAGGGAAUCUUCCACAAUGGACGAAAGUCUGAUGGAGCAACGCCGCGUGAGUGAAGAAGGUUUUCGGAUCGUAAAACUCUGUUGUAAGGGAAGAACACGUACGAGAGUAACUGCUCGUACCUUGACGGUACCUUAUUAGAAAGCCACGGCUAACUACGUG